CUUAUAAAAUGUAGUUAUUGGAUGGCAAGGAAAUAGUUAAUGACAUGAACGUACAUGAGAUCAUGGCACAUCACAACAUUUCACAUCAUACUAUACCACGUGAAUCAAGCAUUCAUCCAGGUUAGUCGUUCACCCUUCUGCGUCUGAAUCCACACCUAUAAUCCUUAAUUGAGAUUUAGGAUGACAAGCAUGCAACUGGUUAAUGUGAACCCACUUUUCAAUAAAAUCACCAUCCUUAGGAAUUUUUAUCUUAUACGCUACUGGGGAAAUUUUGUCAAUGAUGACAUAUGGCCCUUUCCAAGAAGGUAAAAAUUUAUUUUCCUUGACUUGAUUUCGCGCAAAGUUAUACAGAUAGACUUGAUCUGUGAU